GACGAACGCUGGCGGCGUGCUUAACACAUGCGAGUCGAACGGAAAGGCCCUGCUUUUGUGGGGUGCUCGAGUGGCGAACGGGUGAGUAACACGUGAGUAACCUGCCCUUGACUUUGGGAUAACUUCAGGAAACUGGGGCUAAUACCGGAUAGGAGCUCCUGCUGCAUGGUGGGGGUUGGAAAGUUUCGGCGGUUGGGGAUGGACUCGCGGCUUAUCAGCUUGUUGGUGGGGUAGUGGCUUACCAAGGCUUUGACGGGUAGCCGGCCUGAGAGGGUGACCGGCCACAUUGGGACUGAGAUACGGCCCAGACUCCUACGGGAGGCAGCAGUGGGGAAUAUUGCACAAUGGGCGGAAGCCUGAUGCAGCAACGCCGCGUGCGGGAUGACGGCCUUCGGGUUGUAAACCGCUUUCGCCUGUGACGAAGCGUGAGUGACGGUAAUGGGUAAAGAAGCACCGGCAAACUACGUG
rnacentral:rRNA from 1 species